rnacentral:rRNA from 1 species
AUUGAACGCUGGCGGCAGGCCUAACACAUGCAAGUCGAGCGAGCGGCGGACGGGUGAGUAAUGUCUGGGAAACUGCCUGAUGGAGGGGGAUAACUACUGGAAACGGUAGCUAAUACCGCAUACCAUCAGAUGUGCCCAGAUGGGAUUAGCUCGUAGGUGUGGUAACGGCUCACCUAGGCGACGAUCCCUAGCUGGUCUGGGAGGAUGACCAGCCACACUGGAACUGAGACACGGUCCAGACUCCUACGGGAGGCAGCAGUGGGGAAUAUUGCACAAUGGGCGAAAGCCUGAUGCAGCCAUGCCGCCUGUGUGAAGAAGUCCUUCGGUUUUUAAAGCACUUUCAGCGGGGAGGCGUUACCCGCAGAAGAAGCACCGGCGAACUCCGUGCCAGCAGCCGCGGUAAUAC